GUCACGAUAUUUGAACAACUACUCUCGAGUAAAAUACAUAGACGGCGCCUCCAAAGGAUUCUCGUUUGAACGUUGGGUCGUAGAGCUUAAUGCCUAUGUUCUCCAUCGCAAAAUACGAAGUUUUCGAACCAUGAUGCCCAAAUCAACCGCCACACUUGUCUUCAAACACUUGCCCAUGUUUCCCCCUUCCAACUUCAAGUCUCGUCCCUUCAAUUUUUCCACCCAAAUAUUUCCAAAGCGGGGAAAUUUUGACUCUGCUAUAAGGCAGAAAAGCAGUAAGUUUCUCGUCUACUGCAACUCCCAAAUCACAAAACUCGGAAGGAAUGGUUGUAUCGAGGAAGCAGAGUCCAUUUUCAAUCGUAUGCCUCACAAGAAUACCGUCUCUUGGACUGCUUUGCUCACUGCAUACGCUGAAAACGGCGAAAUAAAUAAAGCCCAUGAAGUGUUCAACAAAAUGCCUGACAGAAAUAUUGCAUCCUACAAUGCGAUGAUUACGGCAUAUCAUCGGAGAAACAUGGUAGAUGAGGCUUUUGAGUUGUUCUCUAGCAUGCCUCAGCGUAAUUCUGUUUCCUAUUCUACCAUGAUUACUGGGUUUGUGCGGGCUGGAAUGUUUGAUCGGGCUGAGAAGUUGCAUCGUGAAAAGCCAGUUACGGUGUCGUCUAAUGUGUUAAUCAAUGGGUAUUUGAAGGUGGGGAGAACAGAAGAUGCGGUUCGGAUCUUUGAUGGCAUGGAAGAAAAGGAUGUGGUUUCUUGGAGCUCCAUGAUUGAUGGGCUCUGCAGAGUUGGGAAGAUUGUUGGGGCUAGAAAUUUGUUUGACAAAAUGCCUAAAAGAAAUGUGGUUACUUGGACAACAAUGAUUAAUGGGUAUAUGAAGAUGGAAAAUUUUAAAGAUGGUUUCAUAUUGUUUCUAAAUAUGAGAAGGGAAGGGGUGGAGGUUAAUGCAACUACCUUGACGGUUUUGUUUGAAGCCUGUGGUUGUUUUGAUCGAUAUGGAGAAGGAAUUCAGAUCCAUGGGUUGGUUCUGUCCUUGGGGUUUGACUUAGAUGCUUAUCUAGCCAAUUCUAUGAUCACGAUGUAUUCUAGAUGUUAUUCUAUAGAUGCAGCUACUAAAAUAUUUGAUCUAAUGGUCAAGAAAGAUAUAGUUACAUGGAAUUCUUUGAUUGCAGGUUAUGUUCAAUCUGGGAACGUGGAAAAAGCUUUCUUUCUAUUCGAGAAUAUGCCUCAAAAGGAUGUCGUUUCCUGGACAACUCUGAUUUCUGGAUUUGCCAGCAAGGGUAGGAUUGAUGAAUCCAUUGGUUUGUUUCAAAUGAUGCCUAAGAAGGAUGAUAUUGCUUGGACUGCUGUAAUUUCAGGGCUUGUGAGCAAUGGGGAAUAUGCGACAGCUUUCCGUUGGUUUAUUGAGAUGCUUCAGAGAGUAAUUAAGCCAAAUCCAUUCACUUUGAGUUGUGUGCUUAGUGCGGUGGCUGGUGUGGCAAUAUUAAGCCAAGGGUUGCAGAUUCAUGCUCUUGUUACCAAGAUGAGUAUGGAAUAUGAUUUAACAAUCCAAAAUUCUUUAGUUUCCAUGUAUUCGAAGUGUGGAAAUGUGGCCGAUGCAUUGAAGAUGUUCUAUUAUAUCAAGGUUCCUAAUGUUGUUGCUUACAAUUCCAUUAUCACUGGGUUAGCUCAAAAUGGACUUGGGAAAGAAGCACUUAAAUUAUUCACGAAAAUGCAGGAUGAUUACCUGGUACCUAAUCAUAUUACAUUUCUAGGUGUUCUUUCAGCAUGUGUCCAUGUGGGACUUGUGGAAGAGGGCCGGAGAUACUUUGAUCUAAUGAGAUCACUGUAUGAUAUUCAACCUGAGCCUGAUCAUUAUGCAUGCAUGGUUGAUCUUCUUUGCCGAGCUGGAAUGUUCAACGAAGCAGUUAGUUUGAUUUCUUCAAUGCCAUUUGACCCUCAUCAAGGUGUUUGGGGAGCAAUGCUUGGGGCAAGCUGGACCCACCUACGUCUCGAUGUUGCAGAGCUUGCAGCUCAAAAUCUCUUUGAAAUUGAACCCAAUAGUGCAACAGCUUACGUGAUUUUAUCUAAUUUACACUCUAUUUCUGGUGAUAAGAGGAAAGAUGAGCUUAUAAGGUCGAUGAAGAUAUCAAGAGGGAUAAAGAAGACUCCAGGUUGUAGUUGGAUAAUGGUUAAAGAUAAAGUCCAUCUAUUCCAUGCAGGAGAUCAAUCCCACAAAGACAUCAAAGAGAUGACAGAAAUUAUAUACACGCUGGCCGCAGAAGUAGGAAGGUGGAAGAUAUCAUACGAAUGAAAAAAUGGUAGAAUCAGAUUGAUUCGCCUGGGAAUUACCAUUGCAUAUUGGAUAUAUGGAAUUUCGUCUCUGCCAUGGAUGCUCAUGUUUUGAGUGGAAUAUAGGAGAUACCACCUUAUGGGCAUAUACGGAUUGAUUAAGCGAGAGAUACAUCCAGGCUAUGCUCAAUUGAGGAGCGGUUUGAGUGGAAGCCGUUCUUAAUUCUUAAUAGCUAAAGUUGUACAUUAGAAAAUCUAGAAGUUCAAUCUUUCCACUCCCUGACUGUUUUUGUCAAGAUGGAAAAAGUGAUGGUACCUGGAGCACUAUAAUCGGCCUAAUACACAUUGUAGGAAAUUGAAGUCCACCAAGCACCAGCAUGAUGAAUCAACCAGUUAACAUUGAAUCCCAUCGCCUUGUCCUCUAAGGUGAGGUAUUGCGAUAUAUUCCAAUCUUUCUUGAUAGCCUUUGUCACUUGUGCCAAAUCUCGCAGUUUUGCCUUUGCCUCGUCAACCCUGGCUCGGACUGUUGACACUUGAGCUUUAAGCUCAACAUCUUUGCUUGAAGCAAACACUUCUGCCUGAGCUACCUUCUGGAGCCCUUCAAAGACACUUCCAGCAGGGUCGACUUAGCCUUGGAGCUGUGCAACAGUUUAUUGGCUCGAGCCAAGGAAGGCCGCACUUGGUCAAACUCCUUUUGUGAAACAAAACUCUAAGGACUCCAUUUCAUCACCUAGCCUUGUAGAGGCAAUGCUCAGCCGUAAGAAUGCCUACAUGCCACAGAGGUAUAGUUAGAUCGGCUAGACAAACAAAGAGAAUCAAGGUUGAGGUUCGCCAAAGGUACUCACGUGAGAAACAAGGUUGGGAAUUGAAACAUCCCAUUUUGAGCUCUAUGCCCUCUGUUGGCUGAGUUGAGAAGUGGAUGACUCGAAAUUUCGACGACCGAUGACCAAUAUUGAUAGGGAAGUGGACUUUGGAUGGGUGAGGAUGAAAGAUCAAUGCUUAUUUCUUCAGGCGACAUUGCGUGACCGUGAAAAGAAGGUUGCAACGUAGGAAUCCUAAACUUCAGCUGCUGUCUCUUAACGGAAUGCCUAAAGUCCAUGGGAGCCAAAUUCAAAGGGAAUAAGGCCUCCACAAGGAUUUCAUGUGUCUCAAAAGAAAAAGUCAAACUCGUAAGAUUUAAAUUAACCAGCUGAAUUGGUUAAGUUUUACCAAAAGAGAAAUGAUUGAGCUGAGCUUGCCAUUGGCAUCUUACAAUCUUAAGGACCACACUCAUUUUGACUUUAUUGAGACUAUACAUAUCCUAAAGCAGGUGUUGAAGGAAGAACUUUAUAAAUAGCUCCACACAAACAACUUCAAAAGGUAAGAAACCCCCUCUAUGCGUAGUUGAGCUAAAUACUCUCUUUAUUAAUUUAGGUAUCAGAGUAUUCUUAGUUCGAUACGACAUUGGUGUGUGUAUCUUGUACAAAAUAGCUCCAUUUAUGUGUAUGGACCAGAGGAACGGGCUGGAGGAGCACCCAAGGCUCAUGUGUGAGUUUCCCGCACCAACAAUGUUAAUUAUGCUGAAUAAUGUGUACUAAA